ACAAACGACUCUCGGCAACGGAUAUCUCGGCUCACGCAUCGAUGAAGAACGCAGCAAAAUGCGAUACUUGGUGUGAAUUGCAGAAUCCCGUGAACCAUCGAGUUUUUGAACGCAAGUUGCGCCCGAAGCCAUUCGGCUGAGGGCACGUCUGCCUGGGCGUCAC
rnacentral:rRNA from 1 species